AGCUCCUUCCAUCGGGUCCGAUUUCUUUCAUUGGCAACAACUCUCCAUCCCUGGCUGCUACAAUGCAUCGGGGUGUACGUCUCAAGAAAGUCACCACCAAGCGGACGAAGGCAUCUGUUGGGUAUUUUAAACGCAAACAGAAAAAUCCGCAAGCGCACGGAUACCGAUGUAGCUUUCACCCGGGAGUAUUCCAGAGUAUCGAUUUUCCAUAGAGAACGUGAGUGUACUAAUUAAGAUCCAAGAUCGCCCAAGGAUAACUAUAUAAUUAUUUUUGGUGGGAAGAGAGGAAGUUUCCUGAGAG
rnacentral:lncRNA from 1 species